AAUUGUACCAAUCUCAAUCUGACGAUGGACUCGCAAGGCCCAGGGGGAAACGUCCGCAUGAACCUUAAAGUAUUCAUGAUUUAUGAUUUACAAGUUCUAGUGGACUUACCCCAGUUGAUUCUUCAAGGGUCAGCUCACACUUUAAAGUAUAUGCGGAUUGAUACAUGUCCUAGCCUCCAAGAAUUACCAGCAUGGCUUACAACACUCACAUCACUUAAAAAACUUGAGAUUGCAAGCUGCCCAGCGCUGUCAUAUUUACCCAACGGGAUGGGGAACCUCACUGCACUCAGAGAAUUGACGAUACAAAAUUCUCACCCUGAGUGCAAGCUGCAGAAACAACAGGAGAAACAUUCCCCCUGCCACGGAGAUUCCUCUUUCUCCAUAAUCAGUGAAGCCAUCAAAGAAAUAAAACUAAUGUGCUACCAAUUUGGGUACUGAUAACGCUAUGAUAAGCAGCCUUGUCGAACUCUUGAGCAAGGGCAAGUUUCAACUAAUACUCAUGCUAAAUGUGAUGCUUCUUUUUUUAUCAUUGUGCUCCUGAAUAAGUAUCUAUGGUAGUAUUGGUCACUCUCGUUAAAUCUCAAAGGGACAAAUAGAAUUUCCUCUAUUUUAUGCUUGAUUGAUGUUCAAUAAUGUUUCGCCUGGACAAGCUUUAUUUAGAAUGUUUCGC